GAAAUGCGAAACGUAAUGUGAAUUGCAGAAUUCCGUGAAUCAUCAAAUCUUUGAACGCAUAUUGCGCUCUCGGGUAUUCCCGGGAGCAUGCUUGUUUGAGUGUCAGUAUCAACCUCAUAGAAAAAUUUUUUUUUUUUUAUGGAUUUGAGCCUGUUUUCAGGUUUGUAAAAGAAUCUGAAUGGCUUCAAAUGUAGAGGAGAAAAAAGAAAAUUCUUUUUGGGAAAAUAUUUUAUUAGACGCAAGUCUUUUUCUAUAAUCCUUUCAUCAAGAGAUCUUUUUGCUUCGCUCGCGGUUGCCUGGCAACUGCAAUAGGGAGUUUUUAUAGCUCUCUGAAAUUUGACCUCAAAUCAAGUAAGACUACCCGCUGAACUUAA
rnacentral:misc_RNA from 1 species